rnacentral:lncRNA from 1 species
ACUAAGUUCUUUCACAUAUGUACAUCCAAUAGAAGAGGAAAAAUCAUAUCGCAGAAAUACAGAAAGAUGGCAAAGUCUUUGACAAUCAAGCUGACAUUCGAUCAGAAAGGUUUCUUAGACUUCUAUUCAGCGAUCUUGGGAUCCAACAAAGACUCAUUGGUGGAUGCAGAAUGGGAGAAACUUUAUCUAGAAAACCAAACAGAUCUCAGCCCCC